AUCCCAUCCCAUCCAUCUUCAUCGCCAUCUCCAUCUCCAUCUCUUCUUCCUCUUUUUUCCUUUCCUUUUUUUCCCUCUUUUUUCAGCUCAUUAAUUCGGUUUUUUCAAUCUCAAUGCUGUAAUCUCCAUUCUAUACUUCGUCAGCUUUCUUUUGGAUGUCUAAAUCUAGGUUUUCGAUGAUAAUUUCGCAUGAAUUCUUGCUAUUUAUGGUGUUUUUUCAUCUUUUGUUUUGCUUUGAUUGUUAGGGUUUGAGAAUUUUGAAACGGAAGGAGGACAAGAUUUUGGGCAUGUUUUUCCACGGCUUUCUUGAACUGUGGACUCUCAAGGGUUUGCUUUUUUUUUUUAAUCUUUUGAUUUGAAGGUGAACUUGUUUUUCAGUGCAAAGUUCAAGAAAGACGUGGGAAAUCAUGGCAGAUCUUUCAGCUGAUAAUUACAAGAAAAAAAGUCUUGAUUUUUUGUUUGAAUUUUUCUCUAACAUUGUUUGAUUUCUAGUUUCUUUUCAGUUUGGAUCUGGGGAGGUAGCUGGUGUACUUGUCUUCAAGGCUUGAGGGAUUUGGGGAAUGUGAAGUACUUGACUCAUGGUAUUGUUGAACCUGAGUUGUGAUAAUUAAAUUCUGUCAUUAUUGAGUUGGAUUUGAGAAUGUGUGGUACUAGAUAGAUAAGUGUAGUCUUUUUCCUUCUCUUUUGUUUCUCUUGUUUGCAGGUUUUAUUAGAAGUAUAUGACACUGUGUCUGUUUUUUUUUUAAAUAAUAAUUUCUGUCAAUAGAUAGAAUUCUAUGAGAAUUAAGGGAUUAGUGUUGGUUUUAGAAAACAAAAUACAUAUAAAAAAAAAAGAAAGAAAAAAGGAAACUAGUUUUAAAGUUUGGAUGGUGUGAGUGUAUGGUGAAUAGGGAUUGGUGGAAUGGAGUAUUUGUUUCUUUUCCGAGGUGGAAAGGGACCAGCUUUUGCUUCAUCUGAGGAGCUGCAGUGCAGCAGCCAGAGGAGAUUUCAGAAAGUGAAACGUACGAAAGAAUGUGAAGUAGUGUGUGUGUGUGUGUGUGUGUGUGUGUGUAUGUGUUUGCGUGAGGUUGUGAGAGAAAAAAAAA